UUUUGUUAACGGAAAUAAAUAAAAACUAUAAUUAAAAGAAAAAAACAUUAACUGAAACUUUGUUGUGCGCAUACAAAACUAACUAAAAUGUUUAAAAAUUAUGGAUAAAAUUCCUUUUGUUCUUGUCUUUGUCGAUGUCUGAUAAGAAAUCAAUUUAUUUUGCUCGAGCAAUUUUUAGCUGGUAACACCAUACAACGCUU